AAAGUUCUUCGGAGCUUUUCUAGCCGCGGACGGGUGAGUAACACGUGGGCAACCUGCCUCAUAGAGGGGAAUAGCCUUCCGAAAGGAAGAUUAAUACCGCAUAACAUUGUUGAAAGGCAUCUUUUAACAAUCAAAGGAGCAAUCCGCUAUGAGAUGGGCCCGCGGCGCAUUAGCUAGUUGGUGAGGUAACGGCUCACCAAGGCGACGAUGCGUAGCCGACCUGAGAGGGUGAUCGGCCACAUUGGAACUGAGACACGGUCCAGACUCCUACGGGAGGCAGCAGUGGGGAAUAUUGCACAAUGGGGGAAACCCUGAUGCAGCAACGCCGCGUGAGUGAUGAAGGUCUUCGGAUUGUAAAGCUCUGUCUUUAGGGACGAUAAUGACGGUACCUAUGGAGGAAGCCACGGCUAACUACGUGCCAGCAGCCGCGGUAAUACGUAGGUGGCAAGCGUUAUCCGGAUUUACUGGGCGUAAAGGGAGCGUAGGCGGAUAUUUAAGUGGGUUGUGAAAUACCCGAGCUU
rnacentral:rRNA from 1 species